rnacentral:rRNA from 1 species
UUUAACGGCCGCGGUAUUUUGACCGUGCGAAGGUAGCGCAAUCACUUGUCUUUUAAAUGAAGACCUGUAUGAAUGGCACCACGAGGGCUUAACUGUCUCCUUCCCCUGGUCAAUGAAAUUGAUCUCCCCGUGCAGAAGCGGGGAUACACACAUAAGACGAGAAGACCCUUUGGAGCUUUAGACAAAGGCAGACCAUGUCCCUCCCCCUAAAUAAAAAGAAUAAACUAAUUGGGCCCUGCACUCCGUCUUUGGUUGGGGCGACCGCGGGGUACACAAAACCCCCAUGUGGAAUGGGAGGUUCCUCCUAUAAUCAAGAGCCACAGCUCAAACUUUCAGAAAUUCUGACCAAAAAAGAUCCGGCAUUGCCGAUCAACGAACCUAGUUACCCUAGGGAUAACAGCGCAAUCCCCUUUUAGAGCCCAUAUCGACAAGGGGGUUUACGACCUCGAUGUUGGAUCAGGACAUCCUAAUGGUGCAACCGCUAUUAAGGGUUCGUUUGUUCAACGAUUAAAGUCCU